rnacentral:ncRNA from 1 species
AUAUCGGGGGUGCUGAAGGCUUUUGCCGACGGCUGAGACGGGAUUUUUUCCCGAACCCUUUAAACCUGUUCGGAUAAUACCGGCGUAGGAAGAUA